rnacentral:rRNA from 1 species
UGUUUCGGCUAGGGGGCCAUCCCGGCUUACCAACCCGAUGCAAACUGCGAAUACCGGAGAAUGUUAUCACGGGAGACACACGGCGGGUGCUAACGUCCGUCGUGAAGAGGGAAACAACCCAGACCGCCAGCUAAGGUCCCAAAGUCAUGGUUAAGUGGGAAACGAUGUGGGAAGGCCCAGACAGCCAGGAUGUUGGCUUAGAAGCAGCCAUCAUUUAAAGAAAGCGUAAUAGCUCACUGGUCGAGUCGGCCUGCGCGGAAGAUGUAACGGGGCUAAACCAUGCACCGAAGCUGCGGCAGCGACACUGUGUGUUGUUGGGUAGGGGAGCGUUCUGUAAGCCUGUGAAGGUGGCCUGUGAGGGUUGCU